rnacentral:lncRNA from 1 species
UCCAUCUGCCGAGGGUGUGGCCCUUAAAAAAAAAAAAGAAAAAAAAAUUUGCAUGUUAAGAAUGAGAUGGGGGAGAAAAUUAAUAGUUCAUAUGGUCAUGGGUGUUUCUUGCUUAAAUCUUUUGUAAGAUGCCUUUUGGGCAAAACUUGGUCCUUAAUGUUAAAAAUCAUUAUUAUUCUCAUUGCAUGUCCAUGACAUGAUUUUGGAUUAUGACAAAGCAGGUAAAAGUAAAGAAGAAGCAGGCAGCAAAUGCUGCACCUGGGUGAAGGCCAGGAGCAAGUUCUUUUGCCUGACUGCCCUCUUUUGUUUUCUUAUAAACGUUUUUUCUUUAUCCUUUGAUGGCUGGGUCAGAGACUUUCUCAGGUGUGACCCUUCAGUUACUGUACCCGAGGGUCCUGUAUCCAACCACCUGCGGAUCUCAUCUUCCGAAAGAAUGACUGUUUAGGACUUUCUCCUAAAGGACUUUUCUUCUUUUCACCUAAAGGACUUUCUCUGUGCUAGUGUUCUAUUAAGCAGAAAUUUGAAGCACCAAAACAGACAUUAUAGUAAUUAACUAGAUCACCUAUUAUUUAAUAUCGUAGUCAUAUCUCAUCUUCACCAAGUGAGUACUUGUUUAGAUUUACAACAUAUUUGUAAAUUUCAUUGCUUACAGUUAUUGCUACUAUUUGUCUAUUCUGUAUGUAGUAUUUUUUUUUUCUGCGAGAGAUUUUAAAUGGUGAAUUUUCAUUAUUUGUCUAAAAAUGAAAGCAAAGCUUAUUUUAGGAUUUUAGGUCGUGCAUUAUUUCCCCUCAGCACUUUAAAGAUAUUUUUCCAUUGUCUUCUGAAAUUGUAGCUGAGAAAUGUCUUAAUUGUCAGCUGGUGCUUAAAAAUCUCCUUCAAACGUAAUGCCUGAAAACUCAAAUGGUUUUACUCUCUCUCAGGUUGCCUGGUAUUAGUUGGGUCGUUUUUCCUUUGGUGUUGGCUGGGGCUACAGUGACUUGGGAACUCAGUUCAGCCAGCACAUCAAAGGGCUGGCAGUUGAUACUGGCUGUUCUCGUUCCCGCGUGCAAUUAACCUGGGGCUGUUAAUUGUUGCCCUUCAGGUCUCUGUGUGGCUUGGGCUUCUCCUUGCUUGGUGGCUGAAUUUUAUUUUUCCUUUUUUUUUUUUUGGCCACCUCACAGCAUAUGGAAUUCCCAGGGCAAGAAUCAGAUCCAAGCCUCAGUUUCAACUGUGGCAGUGUUGGAUCCUUUGACCCACUGUGCCAGGCAGGGGUGAAGGAUGGUGUCCCAAAAAAAGUUUUGCAGGAAGAAAAAUGUGUGUAAUUUGCCCAUCCCUUAAAGGCCUGGUCUCAGAAGUCUCAGAUGCCGUUUCCUCUGCAUCCUUUUGGCUGAGAGGGCCAACCCUAGGGAAGUGGCAGCUCUUGAUGUAAGAAGCAGCUUGUGCCCGCGGGGAGGGGGAAAUUUGGGGGAGCCUGUUAACCUAUUGUGAUUUCUCUGUUAUGUGGGUUAUCAGGAUAUCUUGAUUUUCUUUGAUUGCUCUUAAGAUUUUAUUUUUGUCUUUGAUAUUCUGUAGUUUCACUGUGAAAUCUUGAGAUGUAGACUUGUUUUUAAUGUAUCUGGCCUGGGAUGCAUGUCCAUCUUCAAUCAGUUUUGGAAAAUUUCUCUUUUUCUCUUUCAGUACUGCUCCUUUCUUUUCUUUCUGUUCUCUUCUUUCUUCUGGAACUCUUACAUGAAGUUUGUUGGAUGGUUCCAUGUAAUUGUUUCUUAUGUGCUAGGGGGUGAAUUUUUUUUUUUUUUUAUGCUUUUUAGGGCCAUGCAUGCAACAUAUGUUUUUGUGAGCCACACGGGAAGUCCCAUGCAUGCAACAUAUGGAAGUUCCCAGGCUAAGAGUUGAAUCAGAGCUGCAGCUGCUGGCCACAGCCACAGCAACAUGGGAUCUGAGCCACGUCUGUGACCUACACCAUAGCUCACUGCAACACUGGAUCCUUGACCCACUGAGUGAGACCAGGGAUCAAACCUGAAACCUCAUGGAUACUAGUCGGAUUCAUUUCUGCUGAGCCACAAUAGAAACUCCAUAGAGGGUGAUAUUAACUCAUCCAUGACUGACUGAGGCCUGUAGGCUGUCUGUUCAGAAAAGGACUGAGCCUCUUGCAGAGCUUUGCCCAAACUGGUGAUGGUCCAUUCGGGCAGACAAUCCUUGUCAACCACUUGGAGCCCAGCCCCCUAAUUAUGCCAUAGAUGGGUCUGUUGAUUUCCAAGGCAUAUGCACUGAUGUGGCAAAUUUUGCCACUGGAUUGCCCCAUCUCAACAGCUGCCCUGACAAGACUUGGGAUUUUACUUCCAGAUCAUGCCAGGUGGGAGAGUUACUAGCCAUGGGCAUCAGGCCAGCAGGUUAGGAGAGACAGAGUUGUGACACGCUAUAUGGAAGAUUCUACACAUCAUGUUGUGACGAUGUCCCUGCCUCUGAUCACACAGGCAAGGUGCCAGCACUUUCCUACUCAUGCAGCUCAAAAGCCUCACAGUGCAAACAUUGGGAUCCCAUGCUGAACCUCUGACAUCCCCUCCUUGCCAGAUUGCUGUGCAUUGCCCUAGAGUGUCAUGGGUAGCAGGGUACAUGAGCACCUGCCACUGAUGCUGUCAUCAUGUGCCUUCUCUGAUGAAAGUUGCCCCAGUUGGCUGGUGUGAGUGCUGCUUGGCCAUCUGCCCUUACCUUUUUCUCUUCUCUUUAUGUCUGUCUGUCGCAUGCAGAGUGCUUUUUAUUAGACUCUGUUCACUAAAAGCUUCUCACUGGUAUUUAUUCUGCCUUUUAAUCUACUCCUUAACUUGUUUACUAUUUUAAGUGAUUUUUACUCUUUCUUUAUAGUUGGUUUACAGUGUUCUGUAAAUUUCUACUGUAUAGCAAAGUGAUGCAGUCACACAUAUAUAUACAUUCUUUUUCUCACAUUAUCAACUUGUUUAUUUUAUUUUUUUCGUCUUUUGUCUUUUUUAGGGCCAUGCCCGCAGCAUAUGGAGGUUCCCAGGCUAGGGGUCAAAUCGGAGCUGCAGCUGCCAGCCUACACUAGAGCCACAGCAACGCCAGAUCUGAGCUGCAUCUGCGACCUACACCACAGCUCAUGGCAACGCCGGAUCCUUAACCCACUGGGCAAGGCCACUGAUCAAACCCACAACCUCAUGGUUCCUAGUCGGAUUCGUUUAAGCUGCACCAUGACGGGAACUUCUCAACUUGUUUAUUUUUAAUGAUUGUACUUUUUCAUUUGAGAAUUUAUGUGUGGUUAUUUUUUUUUAAUUCAAAUUCUGCUAGUCUUUUUUUUUUGUUGUUGUUGGGUUUUUUUUGUGUUUUUUUUUUUUGUUUUUUUUUUUUACAAAUUUUAACUAAUUCAGUUUAUAUAGAGGCAUUUGGUGAUGACGAUCUUCCAUAAAGUAUGAUUUACUUAAAUUCAACUUAAAAAUCCAUUUAUAUUAUGAAAUGCAAAAUAGUGUGUUUGAACAUAUAAACAUAUUUUAACUAAUGAAUGGAUACAGAAACAUCUAUUUAGACCCAAAUAUAUGACAAAUUAUAUUGUAAGUCUAGUGAUAUAUAUUGAAAUAUCGGAAUUUCAGUGUAUAUCAUUCAUAAAAUCAGUCACAGCUUUCCUGGAAAACAAACUAAUUCUAAAUUUGUGACUACCGCAAAAAUUCUAUUUACUAGCCAACAUUUAUUUUAUCAAAAUAUUUUAAAAUUAUUUUGGUAAUUUUCACAAUAUAUUAGAAAAUAGGGAGAAUUAAUUAAAGGAGUUUUGUAUAAAUGCUUUUCAUGUUUUUGAAGGCUUGUUCAAAAUGGGACUCUCAUUUUAUUUAUUUUUUUAUUGUUUUGCCUUUUAGGGCCACACCUGCUGCACAUGGAGGUUCCCAGACUAGGGGUCAAAUCGGAGCUUCAGCUGCCAGCCUAGUUCACAGCCACAGCAAUGUAGGAUCUGAGCCCCAUCUGCAACCUACACCACAGCUCAUGACAACACCAGAUCCUUAACCCACUGAGCAAGGCCAGGCAUCAAACCCACAUCCUCAUGGAUCCUAGUCGGGUUCAUUAACCGCUGAGCCAUGACAGGAAUUCUGGGACUCUCAUUUUAAAAGUUAACCUAGAUGUCCAUUGACAGGAGGGUGGAUAAAGAAACUAUGGCACAUACACAAUGGAACAUCACUCAACCAUAAAAAAGAACAAAACAAUGCCAUCUGCAGCAACAUGAAUGGACCCAGAGACUACCAUACUACAUCAACUAAGUCAGACAAAGACAAAUAUGGUCUCACUUACAUGUGGAAUCCCCUCCCACCCCAAAAAAUGACAUAAGCAUACUUAAUUACAAAACAGAAACAGAGUCACAGACUUCAAAAACAAACUUAUGGUUAUCAAAGCGGGGAAUGAGGGGCAGGAAUGGAAUGGGGUUUGGGAUUGACAGAUGCACACUUUUGUGUAUGGAAUGGAUAGUCAACAGAGACUUGCUGGAUAGCACAGGGAAAUCUACUCAGUGUUCUUUGAUAAUCUAUAUGGGAAUGAUAUGUGUAUACAUAUGGCUGAAUCAUUUUGCUGUACAGCAGACACAACACUGUAAAUCAGCAACACUGAUUUAUACAGCACUAAAUCAAUGAUACUUCAAUAACUUUUUUAAAAGUUUAUUUUUUUCUCAUUAUAAAAAUAAUUUAUGCUGGUAUUAUGGAAAAA